AACGCAUUAAAAUCUUGUAGAUGCGGUGGCAAAGCUGAUGCAGACAAUGUCCUCGAAGAACACGAUCCCCAGUAUGAUGAUGCUUAGCCAGAUCGUGGGUCGGAUUCAAUCAAAACCUGGAGGGAAACUUGAGAUGCGUGAGGUUCGCCUUUGUGGUGGAAAAGUACAAUAGGCUGAUGCCAAAACUACGAAACCAAAUUCUGUAGAUAUGAGGAGCGGCCGGUCCCUGAGGGAACUCUCAAUGUAGCACAGGUACGCCAAAUUAUCCCCUUGCAUCAAGUUAAAGCCGGUGAUCAUAGUGGCCCCAUGGACAUCCAGCAUAUUGCCGAAAAGUUUCGGGUGGAUGUCGCACAUGUUCAGAAGAUCCUGCUGUUUGUGUCACUGCCUCCAGAAGACAGCAGUUAAGGGAGUGCCAAUAAGGACAAUUGACGAUCCCCAUGGACUUUGAAGCUUAGCUUGUGUAUCACCAUGCAAUUUUUGUCAAAUGACUGAAACACCUCUUACACGGGGCAGAGUUGUCUUCAUAAUCAUCGUGUUAGUGUAUACAUCUGUUUUCGGCAUGUUUGCUGAUGUCGUGAGAAUUUUUGUACGGUUUACGUUUAUAAAACUGAUCUUUUUUAUGCAUCGGGGACGUAAAAUUGACUCUGAAAAUUUUAAGGUUCAUGCA